rnacentral:rRNA from 1 species
UACGUAGGGACCAAGCGUUGUUCGGAUUUAUUGGGCGUAAAGAGCUCGUAGGCGGCUUGUCGCGUCGACUGUGAAAACCCGAGGCUCAACCUCGGGCCUGCAGUGGGUACGGGCAGACUAGAGUGCGGUAGGGGAGAUUGGAAUUCCUGGUGUAGCGGUGGAAUGCGCAGAUAUCAGGAGGAACACCAAUGGCGAAGGCAGAUCUCUGGGCCGUAACUGACGCUGAGGAGCGAAAGCAUGGGGAGCGAACAGG